UUGGAGGGCAAGUCUGGUGCCAGCAGCCGCGGUAAUUCCAGCUCCAAUAGCGUAUAUUAAAGUUGUUGCAGUUAAAAAGCUCGUAGUUGAAUUUCGGGAUUAAUGUAUCGGUCAUGCCGUUGGUAUGUACUGAUAUUAUUGAUUUCUCACCUUCUAAAGAACCGUAAUGCCAUUAAUUUGGUGUCACGGGGAAUUAGGACUGUUACCUUGAAAAAAUUAGAGUGUUUAAAGCAGGCUCACGCUUGAAUACAUUAGCAUGGAAUAAUGAAAUAGGACAUCCGGUUCCAUUUUGUUGGUUUCUAGGAUCGAUGUAAUGAUUAAUAGAGAUAGUUGGGGGCAUUAGUAUUCAAUUGUCAGAGGUGAAAUUCUUGGAUUUAUUGAAGACUAACUACAGCGAAAGCAUUUGCCAAGGAUGUUUUCAUUAAUCAAGAACGAAAGUUAGGGGAUCGAAGACGAUCAGAUACCGUCGUAGUCUUAACCAUAAACUAUGCCGACUAGGGAUCGGAUGAUGUUAAUUUUUAAUGACUCAUUCGGCGCCUUACGGGAAACCAAAGUGUUUGGGUUC
rnacentral:rRNA from 1 species